AAAUGGCUAAUGAUCCAAUAUUCGCUGAGAAACACAGGGCCAAGAUGUAACUAUCCUCUCAUCAAAACCGUAGGAAUUCUGUGAAUACAGAAGUUCAAACACCGGAUGGAAAUGGGGAGAAAAUGAAACCUGCCUUUUUUUUAGAGUAGUGGGUUCGUGGAGGAUUUGUCUUUAGGCUUUUGGUUUGCAUUUGAUGCUGACACAAUAUUGUUUAUCCAGUGAAUGCAAAAGAGGAGAGUGGAGAAGAGGAAAGUUCUCUUCUGCCAUCGUUCCUCAUUUGUCUGAGAAACAGGCACCGCACCUGGCCCAAUGGAAAAGAAAUUCCAGAAGAAGGGAAGAGGGAAGGAAUGGAGUUGGGUGUGUCUGGAUCUAAAGGCUUGCUGCUCCGCCCUGGCUUCCUGUCCCCACAGGAAGCACACCAGGCCUCUCUCUCUCCCCAACUCACUCCAACAGGUGACCUCCACUGGGCAGCCUGCCUCAGAAAUGCCUCUCCUCUCAUCCUUCUUCAGGCACAGAGGCCCGCCCUCCAUACAACUUCCAGAAACACAGCUCUGCACACCUAAAGAACCUCCACAGACCCCUGCAUCAGGACAAAAGCCUCUCCUGGCACUCAGGACCAGCCUCCUCCCAGCCGCCUGCAAAUUGUCACACCCUGCCUGCCAGUGCCAGCCACGCACGUUGGAUGACAGCUGACCCCCUCU
rnacentral:lncRNA from 1 species